AAUACUUGAAUAACUUGCCUUUUACCUGGGGAUAACGGCUGGAAACGGCCGCUAAUACCGAAUGAAGUGCUAUAGGGGAUCUUAUAGCAUAAAAGUAGGGGAUACCGAAAGGUGCCUGGCGGUAAAAGAGAGGUUCAAGAGAUAUCAGCUAGUUGGUGAGGUAAGAGCUCACCAAGGCAAAGACGUCUAUGCGGACUGAGAGGUUGACCGCCAACAUUGGGACUGAGACACUGCCCAGACUCCUACGGGAGGCUGCAGUCGAGAAUCUUUUGCAAUGGGCGAAAGCCUGACAAAGCGACGCCGUGUGAGUGAUGAAGGCCUUCGGGUUGUAAAGCUCUUUCGCUUGGGAACAAGAGUAAGGAGGGAAUAUCUUUUUACUUUGAGGGUACCAGGUAAAGAAGCACUGGCUAACUCCGUGCCAGCAGCUGCGGUAAUACGGAGGGUGCAAGCAUUAAUCGGAUUUAUUGGGCGUAAAGGGCGCGUAGGCGGUAAUGCAAGUCAGAUGUGAAAUUCCGAGAGCUUAACUCCGGAGCUGCAUGAAACUGCAAUACUAGAGGGUUGACGGAGAAAAUGGAAUUCCAUGUGUAGCGGUGAAAUGCGUAGAUAUAUGGAAGAACACCGGUGGCGAAAGCGGUUUUCUAGUUAAUACCUGACGCUGAGGCGCGAGAGCAAGGGGAGCAAACAGGAUUAGAUACCCUGGUAGUCCUUGCCGUAAACGAUGUGUACUUGAUGUAGUUGGGCUCAACCCUGACUGUGUCGAAGCUAACGCGAUAAGUACACCGCCUGAGGAGUACGCUCGCAAGGGUGAAACUCAAAAGAAUUGACGGGGGCCCGCACAAGCAGUGGAGCAUGUGGUUUAAUUCGAUCCACGCGAAGAACCUUACCCAGGUUGGAAAUGUAUAGGACGUUAUCAGAAAUGGUAAUUCCCGCAAGGGCUUAUACACAGGUGCUGCAUGGCUGUCGUCAGCUCGUGCCGUGAGGUGUUGGGUUAAGUCCCGCAACGAGCGCAACCCUUAUCGUUAGUUGCCAACAGGUCAAGCUGGGAACUCUAACGAGACUGCCUAGGUUAACUAGGAGGAAGGUGAGGAUGACGUCAAGUCCGCAUGGCCUUUAUAUCUGGGGCUACACACGUGCUACAAUGGUCGAUACAGAAGGUAGCAAGACCGCAAGGUGGAGCAAAUCCCUAAAAUCGAUCUCAGUUCAGAUUGUAGUCUGCAACUCGACUACAUGAAGUUGAAAUUGCUAGUAAUGGCGUGUCAGCAACAACGCCGUGAAUACGUUCCCGGGCCUUGUACACACCGCCCGUCACAUCAUGGGAGUUGGUUUUACCCGAAGUCACUGACUUAACCGCAAGGGGAGAGGUGCCUAAGGUAAGGCCGAUGACUGGGA
rnacentral:rRNA from 1 species